GGGGAUGUACCUCAAUGGUAGAACACAUGCUUUGCAUGUAUGAGGUCCUGGGUUCGAUUCUCAACAUCUCCA
rnacentral:tRNA from 1 species